AUAUCAUUGAUUAUACUUUUACCAAAGUAACUGAAGAAAUAAGUAUUAAAAUAAUUUAGUCUUUAUUAAAAAUGUAUCACAUAAAAUUAUUUGUUCUUUCAGAUGUGCUGCAGUGAAAAAAUGUUUGGACGAAAAUGUAAUCAAGCGGAUUGAAAUCAUAUGUGAAGUGUCCGCACAUGGAAAUUUAAAAUACCAUGACACCACAAACAAUAAGUAAGUUGGAGUGAUCAACGACAGUAAAUCUUCUAUGAAGUUUAAUAGGUACUUAUGCUCCAGCUACACCUAUCUACUCUUUAAGUAGCUGCAUUACAAAGAAUGUCUUCAUGAAAAUAUUGCAUUGGAAAACAAUGAAAUAAAAACUAAGAAGAGAUUAUAAAGUUCAAAUAUUACAAGAGUUGACUGCAGGAAUUAUCUUUUAAAAUGUAAUUUGCAACAAUAUACAGCACUGAUUACAGACAUGGCUUGCCAAAUUUAUAAACUUUUUGGGAGAUGCAGCAACACCAUCCUUUUUAAAAUGUACAAUAUAAGAUGAAAAAUUCUGAAGGUGAAUGUGGCUGAAGACUAAUAAACUUAAGAAAGGUGACGUUUGUUUGAAAUAGUAAUGCUGAAAAAAGGAAAUAUAUUCAGGAUAUUUCAACUCUCGAAGUACCAACUUUGAAGCCGAAAUGGAUAAUAAGAGUAUUACUCGAUAUAGGUCGGAUAAUAUAAAGUGUAAACCUUAAAAAAUAUGUACAUCAAUAUUUCUUAAAUAAAAUAAAUUUUAAUUAUUAUUGAA